rnacentral:rRNA from 1 species
UNUGACUUGAGUGCAGAAGGGGAGAGUGGAAUUCCAUGUGUAGCGGUGAAAUGCGUAGAUAUAUGGAGGAACACCAGUGGCGAAAGCGGCUCUCUGGUCUGUCACUGACGCUGAGGCUCGAAAGCGUGGGUAGCGAACAGGAUUAGAUACCCUGGUAGUNCACGCCGUAAACGAUGAGUGCUAGGUGUUAGGCCCUUUCCGGGGCUUAGUGCCGGAGCUAACGCAAUAAGCACUCCGCCUGGGGAGUACGACCGCAAGGUUGAAACUCAAAGGAAUUGACGGGGGCCCGCACAAGCGGUGGAGCAUGUGGUUUAAUUCGAAGCAACGCGAAGAACCUUACCAGGUCUUGACAUCCCGAUGCUAUUCUUAGAGAUAGGAAGUUACUUCGGUACAUCGGAGACAGGUGGUGCAUGGUUGUCGUCAGCUCGUGUCGUGAGAUGUUGGGUUAAGUCCCGCAACGAGCGCAACCCUUAUUGUUAGUUGCCAUCAUUAAGUUGGGCACUCUAGCGAGACUGCCGGUAAUAAACCGGAGGAAGGUGGGGAUGACGUCAAAUCAUCAUGCCCCUUAUGACCUGGGCUACACACGUGCUACAAUGGUCGGUACAACGAGUUGCGAGCCGGUGACGGCAAGCUAAUCUCUGAAAGCCGAUCUCAGUUCGGAUUGGAGGCUGCAACUCGCCUCCAUGAAGUCGGAAUCGCUAGUAAUCGCGGAUCAGCACGCCGCGGUGAAUACGUUCCCGGGCCUUGUACACACCGCCCGUCACACCACGAGAGUUUGUAACACCCGAAGUCGGUGAGGUAACCUUUUAGGGGCCAG